GGGCCUUAAGCAUGUGCUAAGCACUCACGUGUGCACCUUGAAUACCUCACAACAGCCAUCUUACUGAUGAGGAAGCCAAGGACUGACUAGUGAGGUUAAGCAACAUGACAGUAAAAUUAAAUUAGUAGUCCUAACCUGGAUUCAUAGACUUAGUAGAUCAGGAUUUGAGACCAGCAUUUCAGUGGUUGAUUAAUAGACACUCGCAGGAGCUGCUGUACAUGCUGCCAUCCAUGAAUGCUCACCUGGGUGCAG
rnacentral:lncRNA from 1 species